CUCGCCGUUUAUCCAUUGGCCGUCUUCGAAGUCGUUCUCCAUGCCAAAUCUCUCCAUCUCCUGAUAAUCGUCCAUCUUGAAUUUGAUCUCUAGCUCUCUCUUGCUCAGUCUUUACUCCUCAAAUCUGGAAAAUUAAUAAAAGAAAGCAGUAAAACCCUAUAAUGUAGUGCAUAGUACAAAAGGAAAAUUUUGGUGGUAUCUUCAGAGAGGACUCUCGACGAGAAUUCAGCGCUCCGAAUGAUGCCGGACUUGUUUAGGGUGUUUUAAUCCGGUACGGCCCGAAUGGAGCGUGAUUUGAUAAAUGUUCAGAUUUUUAAUAACUAAAAUUAAUCUAAAUUUUAAAUCCUAGGUAGAGUCCGAUUUGAUCGGAAUAAUUAAUUUAUACAAUUAUUAUAAUUUUGAUAAAUGUGAAUUUUAGACUAGUCUCUCUCUAAUUGUUUUAGAAAAACGAAUUCCCUUUGUUUUUUUCAUUUCAAUCUCAAUUUUUUUCGAAAAAUUGAAGUUUGAUUUUUGGUAGAUUCCCUUUGCCUUUUGGAUAGAGGAACUCUUUUCUAGCUAGAAUAUGGGCUUUUCUUCCUUUCCACCCUUUAGUUUGAUGCAAAUAUUUUUUUAGUUUGGUUUGGUGUAACAGAUCUCG
rnacentral:misc_RNA from 1 species